GGUCCGAAAGAAGACCCAAAGAAGGUUAAGGUUAAGGGUCUGAAAGAAGACCCAAAGAAGGUUAAGGUUAAGGGUCAAGGGUCUGAAAGAAG